rnacentral:lncRNA from 1 species
CAUAGACAGAGCAGCCCCGAGGACUGCUGGUUGCCCAUUUUUAUGGUUAUUUCUUAAUGAUAUGCUAAACAUCGGGUGGAUUAUUCACGCCUCCCCUUUUUAGACCAUAUAGGGUAACUUCCUGACGUUGCCAUGGCAUUUGUAACUGUCAUGGCCCUGGUGAGAGUGUAGCAGCGAGGACGACCAGAGGUCACUCUCAUCGCUAUCUUGGUUUUGGUGGGUUUUGGGCGGCUUCUUUAUUGCAAGCUGUUUUAUCGGCAAGGUUUUUAUGACCUGUAUCUUGUACCGACCUCCUAUCUCAUCCUGUGACUAAGAAUGCCUUAACUUACUGGGAAUGUAGCCCAACCGGUCUUAGCCUUAGUUUAGAGAGUCCCUAUUCAAGAUGGAAUUGCUCUGGUUCAAACACACCUGACACUACCCCCCAGGCCGAGGACGGGGUCCCCAGGGGCAGGCGAGCCUCCACAGAUCCGGGGCCAUUCAUCUCUGCAGCGGCCGCAGCCAGCCGCCAGGGUGCCCUGCUCCCAGGUGUAGCCAAAAUGGCCCUGAGUCUGUUUCCACCAGGCCCGGGAGCGAGAAGAGGCGCAAGACGCUGAUUGGGCCAGGCACCGGCACACGCAAGUAGCGGUAUGGAGGAGGCAAGAAUCUGGUUGGGCAAGACAAGGAACUAACCGGGCAGGCGAGACGCUGAUUGGAUGAGGCAGGUUGCUUAUUUGCCAAAGCGUGACUCUUACCCGGCAACGUGUGUCGCCGCUUGAUCGCAGCGGUGCGGUGAUUGGGUAGGUCAGUUCUGGCGGGCCGCGCGCGCGGGCUUUGGGGACGUGUCGUUUCCGGCCUCCAGCGUGAAGCCGACUGUGGGCUCUGGAAUAGUCGGCGGUUGUGUGUCCUGGUGCUCGAAGCUUAGCCGGGCGACGCUUCGGGAGAGAGGCAGAACCAGCCUCCCAGAGUUGUGGGCUCGGCUGGAUCGCGACUCCGCCAUUAACCCCUCCGCCAACGUCCCCGCUUGUCGUCCUCCCUCGGGCCCUGGUCAGCCUCCCCAGGGCCUGCAGCCUUUGACGCACUUCGAGGUGGAGACCUGGCCUUGGAAAGUACCCGGGGAGCCACUCCGUAGCCUGUGCAAUGAGGAUGGACCCUCCUCACUCGGACCCAUGCUGGCCAUGCUGAAUGGCCCCGCAAAUUCUCGCGAGCUGCGAGGGAAGCAUUGUUGAUCCUCUUGAGAACAUCAGACAGGAUAUUCAUCCGCACCUUGACGACGGCACCAAAGGAUGGUGGAAAGAGAGAUUUUUAAAAAAUCAAAUCUUCUGUUACUUUGUAUUCAGAAGAAAACUAUGCAAAGAUUAACAUAAAAUUAAAAGUAUGGAAAUCCAGAUUUUAGUAAAACCUAUUAAAAU